rnacentral:lncRNA from 1 species
GAGAAAUCAGAACUCUUUAGAAUAUGGGUGAGGGUGGCUGGAGGCCCCGGAUGGGAAGUCCAGCCCAGUGAGCAGGAGUGGAUCAGGGUCCCACUUAAAGAAGGAGUCUGCCCACAUUUUGGUAAAGCAGCUGUGUUGUGCUGGGCGAAUCCCUUUCUUGUCUGGUUCAUUUGGACCCUCCAAAGCCCACAGGCUGGAACGGCUGAGUCAUCCAAACAAAAAAGGUGGCAGCCCAUCCCUCCCCCAGGAGCUCUACCCUGUCUCAAGUAGGUGCUACCCUGUUGCUGGUGGCUGGCUGGAAUUCCAAGCCAGUUGAUCUUAUCCUGUGAGGUCCCUUGGAAGUGGGGCCCACAGACUGACGCUGCUCUGCUUCCUGGAUUCAGCCCUCUUCCUAAGGCCCUUGAAAAAUAUUGUGCCAUUUCCUUCUGGUCUCCAUGGAUUCGUAUGUCAAAUAUGCAGUCAUUCAUGUUGAUAUUCAUCUAUCUAUAAGUAAUGUGUCAUUUCUCUCUGGAAGCAUUCAAGAUUUGUUUGUUUGUUUUUAGUUUUCAGGAAUGUUCCGGGGCCCUGUGGUGGCUUGUGCACACUGCAGUCUAUCUGCAGGCUCACUUUGGCGUAGGACGGCACCUGGACCCACUGGAUUCCGGCUCCCAUGCUCCCCUCUGGAAGUACAAGUCCUGGGCCAGGCGCAUGUGAACCUCCAUGGUGAAUGCAGCAGCUUCCUCUGCAGAUUCCUAGCGAGGUAGUGGCUGGAUGCCGCGAGAGACAGAUGAACCUCCUGUUUGUCCUCAAGGCGGGUAGUUUCCGUGUAGGAUCUCGCUUGUCCUUACAGGUGCCAUCUGAUCCUUGCUCACAUCCUCAGCUGGCGUUCCUUCCUGACUGCUGGAGUGGCUGACCUGAAGAGACUUCCCACUCAACACUGCAGGCAGAGGGGACAGCCCGGAGAGACUUGCCCGCCAGCUCUCACUUUGCAUAUAAUCUCACUCCUAAAUAAAUCCCUCAGCUCAGGGGUCCCCAAACUUUCUCUGCGUGUGGUGCCCUUAAUUUCUCAGUACUCUCUUCUUAGUGCACCUGGGCCAAAAGAAAUACCAAACAGUUCCAUUAAUUAAGUGGUUAGAUCCAAAUGACGUAGGUAUGUUUGUAAUAGCUGUUUGAAAAGAAAAUAUACAUACAUUGAAAGAAAAAAUAAUAUUUGAUUUUCCUCUUAAAUAAGCAGUGCCGAUGGGAUAUGUGCCUGUUGGACAAGGCCCAACUUCUCCAACCUUGGAAUCAAGUUGGACACUGUUGCCCUCAUUUUCUGUCCCACACCAUUUUACCUCAAAGCAAUCAUUGAAAACCCAGCUUUGGAAAGAUAUGACAACUGUGAAAGGAAUAUACUGCAAUCUGAUGUUCGAACUGUGAACUUCCUCAAUCGAGUAGUUCCCAAGGUGUCCAAGAAGGGUCAGCUAUCAAUGUAUAUCCUCUGAAAACUGGAAAUAUUCCAUGGCACCCCUGUGAACUCACUGUGGCCCCUACAGUUUGAGAACCAUAGCCUUGUCUCAUAUUGCUUCUGAUACACAGAGUGCCAUGCUGAUUUGGGUGUAUUCUUUUCCUGUCUUUGUACUCUCCACAUAUAUUAUAAAAUGUGGACCAGAAGAAUUCUAUAUUUCCCUUUUUUUAAUUUGACAAUGUUAUGAGUGUAUUCCCAUGUCAAUAAAAAUUCUUUUAAAAAUUAUUUAUAUCUGAAUCAUAUACCAAAUUUACCAAUAUCGAAUUUAAUCUUCCUCCAGUCCUUGAAUUUUCCAGCUGUAUUUCAUUUUGCUAUUAUCUGUCAAUAUUCCUUAAAAUGGAUUUCUAGAAGCAGUAUUACCAAAUGAACUUCUUAAACAAUCUUGAUAACUAUUGUUAAAUUGCUUUUCAGAAAUAAUGCACUAAUUUAUAUUCCAAUAAAAAAUACAUGGCAGUGGCUAUUUUGCCACAUUCUUAACUGCACUGGGUAUUUCCAUUAAUAAAAUAAAAUCUCCUCACCAUUUUUAACAGGCAGAAGAAAUAUUUCAUUGUAAUUGACAUUUUGUUUUAUUACUAGUAUGAUUAGUAUUUUUAUUUUAAUGGGUAUUGCAUUUAUUCCAUGACUGUUUGUAUCUUUGUUUAUUUAAAUAAGUUAUUGGCCUGUAAUCCCAGCAUGUUGGGAGGCUGAAGCGGGUGGAUUACCUGAGGUUAGGAGUUCAAGACCAGCCUGGUCAACAUGGUGAAACGCCAUCUCUACUAAAAGUACAAAAAUUAGCCGGGUAUGGUGGCGUGCACCUGUAAUCUCAGCUACUCGGGAGGCUGAGAUGUGCGAAUCUCUUGAACCCGGGAGGCAGAGGCUGCAGUGAGCCGAGAUCACACCACUGCACACCAACUUGGGCAACG